rnacentral:lncRNA from 1 species
GAAAUGCUAAAGCUAUUUGCAUCAUUUCAUGCUCCUGUUGAACCUUAUGCUGUUAACUAACCACACAUUCUCAAACCAAAUCCAUAUUUUGCAGUCUGAUAAGCUGGAUUACGAGAGAAUAUAGUAGAGGGGCCAUAUUUCGAACCAGUCAGUACAUGUCAGACAAGAUUAUAUCAAAGUGGCUCACCAGAUUUUGCUCAAUGCUAAUUGAAGAUGAAGAGAAAUGGGAUGGACACACCUCCCUAACUUACUUCACUUCUUUUAAAAGUUGUAUCUCAUCUAGUUAUUAGAAACAUCAAAUGAGAGGGAAAAAAAAGAGCUGAUAUCUAAUAGCUCAUGUUCCUGAAUAUGUUACUGAACCUUUUCUCUUUCAGUGAGCAAGAGUCAAAGGAAACCAGACAAACAGGCUUGCUUGAGAAACCAUCAAAAAACAGUUUUCUUGGGGUCUUUAGUUUCAGUAGAUAAUAUAAUGCUUUUGCAUCUUAUUUCUAUCUUCAGAUUCAAAUUGCAACGCGUGAUACUCCAGCAUUUCACUCGACAUAUUUAAGGAUGAAGUUAACUAAAAAUGUCCACCUAACAAAUAUUGGUACUGCAUGAUUUCAAAUUUUUUAUACUCAUUUGUAUUCCAUGGUUCUUUAGUUAUUGCGAAGUAUAUAAUUUUACUCUUAAAAGAUCAAGCCAAUCAUCUUCUGAUAUUGACACUAUAAAAAAAUCAAAUUGACUCUUAAUAAGCUUAACAGAACUAUUCAAUAGGUAACUGAUUCAAAACAAAAAUAAAAAAAA